rnacentral:ribozyme from 13 species
AAGAAAGAGAAGAAAAAGAAGAAGAGAAAGGAGGGGAGAAAAAAUUUUCUGCGAUGGAUGAAAUUUUUCCUCUUCUUCGAAAAAAACCUUCUGUUUCGAAAAGAUUUUCUUCUUCUUCUUCUUCUCUUUCUUC